GCGGAAAUAGACCAUAAUGCAAUGCGCCGACAUUAAAAAUAGAACGAAAACUGUCUGCAGCCUAACAACAUGUGUUUACAAGAAACAGAUAUGUAGUAUCUGGGGAGUCUUCCACAGUACGACUUGUUUAUUCCCCGAUUUGCAGAGGAGAUACUUCCGGCAGCACGGGGAGAUUUCCCGCGGUUAUGGACUAUGUCAGACGUGUAGAGGACCUACCCGAAGCUGAGACCGACAGCAGGCAGAACUGUUAAGUCCGCGGCAUCCAUGUUUUAUGUAGAUACACUGUAAUAAAUAUUAUAGAUACUUUAUUGGCGCCCAACUCGAGGCCGCGGACUUACCUGGGUGGGUUAUUGCAUUUUUUUGCUUUUCCCAGUCACGUUGUUAGGUCGCUAUAUUGGCGGGUAGUGUCAGAUGUGGGAUUUUUCUUUUUUCUACUCGGGAAUAGAUUUGGAUUUUUGUUAUUAACAGGGAUUUUUUUUAUAUUAAUUACUGAAUGAAUUUAGACAUUCCUUGAUUGUAUUUUUGAUACAUUUUUUGUGGAUUGUUUACAUGUGAGAUGGAUAUGUCUAUAGAUGACGUGUUAUGCGGGUUGGUCUUGUGCCCUCACCCGGACAAACCUGUGGUCACACGGAAUGUACCCGCGUACUCCCAGGUAUCCCCAGGCUGUGGCGAACGUUAUUUCACGCCGUCGUUGCCUUCCUGUUUGAGGGAGGGGGGGGGGGGUAGGUUAAGGGAUGCCACAGGUGGGGAAGUGAGGUUUACUGGCAUGCAGUUUAGCUCUAGGGAGGGUGACAGGUUUUCUGGCACGCAGUUUUGCUCUGAGGAAGGUUAUAGCUUGGAUUAGGAUAUACAACGUAGGUGUGACUUCCCUGGGAAUUUAAUGGGAUUAGAUUCGCCCAAGAAAGGGUCUGGACAUGACACCCCAGGGUUUAGCGAUUGGGAUAGGUGGGAGGAGGAUUUCUUGUCCCUUGGUGGGGGCUCAGUUAUUCCUGAUGUCCCGGUAAGGCCUACUCCAGUCAAGGGGGGUGGUCAUGUACCCAGCUCUGGGAGUCUCCCGGAAUAUCAUACCCCUGCUCUGCAUUCCUACACUCCAGUGGCAAGGAGGUCAGCCCCACUCCCUCAUUCAUGGGUUGAUGAUCACGCCCUUGGCCAGCUUAGUCAGGGUUUGCCCCAGCUGGGCUUGGGUUCACGCUUGCAACACCCCACUCCUGGACCGUAUUCCACAGUUGCUCCAUUUUCGGAGCCAGGGAUUACUACGGAAAUUGCCAGUCCCCACAGCCCAGCCAGGG